UUAUCGAUCUUUACCAGCUGAUCUACCAAACACCUUUAUUUCCGUUUUUAGUGGGUCUGUAUACAUGUGUCAGCCAGUGCAGUGAUCCUCAGAGCUUAGCUAGAGUCUAUGGAUACUGAGUCUAUGGAUACUGAACACAGUGAUCCUCAGAAUUAAAGUGUGUCUAUAACUGCAUGGAUUUUCCAGCUCUCAAUGCAGUGAAGUAUAGUAGCAGCACCAUGAAACGUUUGUCCGAAGUCCAAAAAGUUUGCGUACCUCUCCUGCUCUUACUGUACAUGCAGCUCGCCUCAUCCAACGGAAGUGCUGGGCGUUGAAGUAUGGAAAUGACGUUCACUGAGCAAAGGUCAGCAACAACUCAAGGAAAAAUUAAAAGAUGUCCUCUUCAAUGUACACACAAUCGAGCCGCCAUAUGCGUUCAAAGUUUCAUUUUCAAGGGUGAAUCUACACGUAUGCGAAACAAUCGUACCAAGUUUCUCUUUUGUAAGUCUCUUCUCUCUUGACGAAGUGGAACAAUGCCCAACAAUACGCUGGGAAAGGCAAAAGUCUAAAGAUCUAUUUAUUGACGUGAUGGAAAAUGUGUUCGCAAAACUUGGCGAGGUAACACUCGAACCUACCUAUAAAUCAAAAGUCGUGAGUGAUGCCUUUAUACCUGAAAUUGAUUCCCAAGACUCCACCCCCACCAAAUACCCGAAUCCAAUUUCGGUAGCCGCUUAGCGAUGAUCUCCCUGUUAGAAACCCUGAAACUGGCAUAAAGUGUGAAUCUAUUGGGAUCGGGGGGCGCACCGCAUGGUAUGGCACACCGGAUGCCAGGAUAAGAUCUAUUGAAGGCGAUACAGUCGUAUAACAGGAUGAUGAUAUGAUACUCGUCCAAUAAAAUCGUUGGGGUCAUGGAAUUGAGGGUUUUGUGAUUGUGGUGCUCCGUAAAUGAAUGAGUCAUCACAGUAGCCACUACUUGCCCCAUGUGCUUUCGUAAAAUAAAACGGAACUUCCCUUCUAUGAGAACAGAUUCACCGUCAGAUUCGAUUUCCUGCUCAGAACUAUCCCAAGCUACAACUGCAAAAUGUGCUCCUCAUUUCUGAGAAAAUUAAAUAUUAUGACGAAGAGAAAAAUGCACUCGUGGACGUGGGCGUGGCUGGCAAUUAACCACAGGAAGUAUCUGCAGGUGGCAGAUUUUAGGACACAAACUAGUGGGCUGCACAAUUUCGCUAGUACUCAGAUAAAUUCAAACAGUUGCAUUACACCAACUGUUAUUGGGGACAAAAGGAGGAAGGUUCCCCACAGAAGAAAGCUGGUGUGUGUGCGUCUUUGAUUACGACGAAGCCCCCCCCCCCCCCUCUCGAAACCCGACCAUGAUUGUAGAUGACUCUGAUUGUUUUUUGUCUUGUGACAUGCUUUUAUGAUUGUGACUCUCUCAUUCGUCUCGUGCGUUGCUGCAAUUAAUGGCACUUAUAAAAUGCAUAGUAGGCAAACAAAGACACCACAGUCAAAUGCAUUGCUUUGAUUUGGAAUACCCUAUUAAACUGAGGUGGAACAGGGUUGACUUGAAUAGAACCAGUACGUAGCAUCAGCCAGAUUGACCUCCUCUGGAUCUCACCUAAGUCUUAGGCUCUAUAAAGAUAGAAUUGUGUAUUAUUAUGCCUGUUGGCCAUUAUUAUUGUGAUAAUUAUUUAUGAAAUGUUUUAACCUUGUAUGGAAAAGUUACAAAAACAACGAAAAUUGUUGUUCAUCUUCUCAUGUUCUUUUA